GGAGCCAUAGCUCAGUGGUAGGGCAUCUGCUCUGCAUGCAAAAGGUCCCAGGUUCAAACUCCUGGAUCUCCA